AUGACCGGCCUGAAGCCCGAGGACACCGCUGUGUAUUACUGCGCGAGAGACACAACAGAGGGGAAUAUUGUGUUCUUCCCAAACAAUAUUGAUACGAUUCUUAACGUUACUUUAUUCUCAGGUGUCCGGUCCCAGGUGCAGCUGGUGGAGUCCGGAGGGGAUGUGAAAAAGCCCGGAGACUCUCUCCGCCUCUCCUGCAAAGCCUCCGGGUUCACCUUCAGCAGCUACAGCAUGAGCUGGGUCCGGCAGGCUCCCGGGAAGGGGCUGGAGUGGGUCUCGGUUAUCAGCAGCAGCGGGGGUACUAUCUACUACUCCGACGCAGUGAAGGGCCGAUUCACCAUCUCCAGAGACAACUCCAACAACCUGCUGUAUCUGCAACUGACCGGCCUGAAGCCCGAGGACACCGCCCGCUAUUACUGUGCCAAAUCCCCCGAGAACUUUCCUCUCAAACACCGGGGAAAAUGA